GCCGAUAUAGUAUAAUGGUAAUACACGUCCAUGGUAAGGAUGAGCUCGUGGUUCAAUUCCGCGUAUCGGCACCA
rnacentral:tRNA from 1 species